UUCCGAGGAGGCGGUGCUGGGGCGGGCGCAGGACUGCAGGCUGGGGCUCCGCUCCCCGGCGGGAGCCCGCGCGUGGUUCCCAGCGAAGUCCCCGCGCGGCUGGGCCCAGCGUGAGUAUUCUCCGCCCGCUGUCCUCCCCCUGGAGGCGGCAGCGCCCGUUUAUUUGAGGAGGAUGAGGCUGUCACUACUACAGUUGGGACUGUUUCAUACUCCGUGCUCUUGUGCUAUGCCAGGGGGUACUGUCUAACCCACAAGUCUCUGCCAGGAAUGUUGCUGUCCACACUGGAGUGUAAGACACCUGCGGAGCUCGUCUAUGGGGCUCAUGUUGGCUGAGGCUCUGAACUACAGAACUGCAAACAACCAAGGGAGCGCCCCAGGCCCCAGGCUUCUAAUGUGAGGAAAAACACGGAAUGACAAGUGUGGGAAAGAGCAAGCACUAAAUUACUGUCAGAAAAAUAAACGGAGUAGCACAGUGCUGCUCGGUGAUUUACGGGGGCAAUUAGUCACCACCCCACGGCGCUGCUGAGGACAGCACGGCAGCAGACAAGUCAGGCCCAUGAGGAAGAAGAGGCUUUGCACUGCUCUCCAGACAACUUUUCAAACAACAAGAGAGGAUAUUUGAGCACAUUAGGUUUUGUGUCUUCAUUCUGGGUACCUACUCUUCAUAUUAUUCUACCAACUUAAUACAUAAACAUAUUUUUAGCACAAUAUG
rnacentral:lncRNA from 1 species